CUUCUUCCUCCUCUCUCACUCUCUCUCAGGCCAUCCUCUCCCGCUCCUCCAUCCCCCGCCAUGGCUCCGCCCAGCAGCUCCACCCGCCCUCCGUCUCCAUUCCCUCCUUCUCCGGCCUCAAAGCCGCCUCCUCCUCCUCCGCGGCCGCCUCCCUCUCCCGCCGCCGCGCCGCCGCCGUGGUCCGCCACCCCGUGACAGCCUCCGCCGCCGUCGAGACCCUCGAGAAGACCACCGAAACCGAGCUCGUGGAGAAGUCCGUCAACACUAUCCGGUUCCUGGCCAUCGACGCCGUGGAGAAGGCCAAUUCCGGCCACCCCGGUUUGCCCAUGGGGUGCGCUCCGAUG
rnacentral:lncRNA from 1 species